ACGUAGGGGGCAAGCGUUGUUCGGAAUUACUGGGCGUAAAGGGCGCGUAGGCGGCAUGGCAAGUCGGGAGUGAAAGCCCGGGGCUCAACCCCGGAACGGCUUUCGAAACUGCCAAGCUAGAGUACGGAAGGGGCAACUGGAAUUCCCAGUGUAGCGGUGAAAUGCGUAGAUAUUGGGAAGAACACCGGAGGCGAAGGCGGGUUGCUGGGCCGAUACUGACGCUGAGGCGCGAAAGCCAGGGGAGCAAACGGGA
rnacentral:rRNA from 1 species